CUGAUGGGCUUUACUGCUGUUGGGCUUGUUUAGUACGUACUCCAUCAAUGGCCUUUACUACGCCGUUAACAACGCCGCCGCUCUCAAUUCUUCUCCUUAUCACAGCCCCCACGCCAUUAUCUGCUCCGAGAAUAAUCCAGAAAUAGUGAAGACAAGGUUGAGGCAAUGGGCGCAAGUGGUUGCUUGCACAGUGCUUCAAACUCCAAGAUAACUCCAGUGGUUGUAAAGGUUAUUUCUGUUAAAUAUGCAACAAAACUUUGAUGGUUGUAACUUGUAAGGGUUAUUUUGCACUAAACAAAUGCCGAAAUUAUUAAUUGAUAUAUUCAAAGUAGGCAACCA